AGUGAACGCUGGCGGCAUGCCUUACACAUGCAAGUCGAACGGUGACGGGCCUUCGGGUGCCGACGAGUGGCGAACGGGUGAGUAAUGUAUCGGAACGUACCUUUCAGUGGGGGAUAACGUAGCGAAAGUUACGCUAAUACCGCAUAUUCUGUGAGCAGGAAAGCAGGGGAUCGCAAGACCUUGCGCUGAUUGAGCGGCCGAUAUCAGAUUAGCUAGUUGGUGAGGUAAAGGCUCACCAAGGCGACGAUCUGUAGCGGGUCUGAGAGGAUGAUCCGCCACACUGGAACUGAGACACGGUCCAGACUCCUACGGGAGGCAGCAGUGGGGAAUUUUGGACAAUGGGCGCAAGCCUGAUCCAGCCAUGCCGCGUGAGUGAAGAAGGCCUGG
rnacentral:rRNA from 1 species